ACGUUCGAUUCGGCGUAAAGUCGCCAUGGUUAGCCCAGACAGCCUUCCGGCACUUUGUCAGAGGACAGAUCAUCUGAGAUGUGAUUGAGAGUCAUGAGGUAGCUGCUGUGCAAAGAUUGGGCUCGGAUCUGACAAGCCGCAAAUAGUUUGCCUUUUAAAGAGUGUGGCAUAUCAUUCCAACAAGAUGUGCAUUGCCCCAUCACCUUUGUCCAGCCACCUGGCUUGACUUGUAACAGAUAUCAGGAUUCCCUGCGGAGUAGUUGUGUGCUUACUUCUCGGGUUCCACCACCAAUGAUGGCUUCCCCAAGGCUACAACUACAUACAGAAGAUGAUAGUCAACAGUCAGCUUGUGUCAGAUGUAAGAAACGGGCAUUCAGCCGGCGAAUAUAAACCAGCACACCUUAACUGCUUGUUUUCAUGUGCAGUGCUCUUGGAAAGUGCAGGGAGAGGAUCUUGCUGGAACAGGUGCUCACCCUUCAGUUGGCUCGAUUGGUAGCGCCCAAGUCACUGCCAGCGCCCAUGAAUAGGCCAGACGCCCUGGAGAUGGGAACCACUGACGCAUGAUCAGUUCCCCAUCUAGAGCAGCACUGAAAGCGACCUCCUUAAAGCCUACUUUCUGGAAUACAUCUGUGUGCAGAGCUUGUACAUCAAGUUGAAGACUUACAAUUCAUCUCAUGGACAGUGAUAAAACAUUGAAACAAAACCUUAUUAUGACUGAAAAAUCUAAACAAAAACAAAAUUUGUUGUUGCCUUAUACCAGUGUCAUGGCACACUGGUCGCUUUACUAUAUGCUGCAAUAAAUCGCUUCUUUUCAAGGAUGAGGCUUUGUUGACUGCUUAAAUAAAUAUAUAAUAUAAAAUUACCUGCUCAACUAUGAAAUUAUGUGAAUCAAAUAUUGUGUACAACUACUGCUGGCCUCAUUAAAAAAACACAAUAUGAAGCUUCAUUACUAAAUGUGUGCGCAAAAAUUAUUUCCCGAUUCUGAUCAGUGACUCCUUUGUGUAGCUUAUGUUUAACG